rnacentral:lncRNA from 1 species
AUGCACAAAAAAUUGCUGAAGUUGGCUGUUUUUGCACACAUCAGAACUGGAGCUUUCAAAUACCUGGUAAGUGUCUGUUCGCACCAGUCUUUUCUUCCAGCAAGAAGAGAAGCCGCAUGCAGCAUGCUUGGCCGAAGCUCGGUGGCGCCUCUGCCCGGCGCACGAGGUGGAGAGGACCCCAGGGUCCUUGUAAGGGUCCUGGGCGCGAGGAGAAAAAGGAGCAAAYACGCACAGUCCUGCCCCGCUCCGCUUUGCGUCAGCCAGCCCGGGAGGCUGCGAAGGGCGAGGGCAGACCCCGACCCGGCUGCACYGACCGUGCCGCAGCGCCCUGCUCGCGGCGCCCUGCAACGGCCCCRCCAGCGCCACGACGAAAGCCAAGAUCAACAGCGGCGCGUCCCGCUCCCAGCCCCGAGGGCCCGGCAGGUGCCGCGGUGCCAGCGCCGGCUGCUAUCGGAGACGUGGYGCCCUGAGCUGACCAACGGAGGCCGCGGGGGCUCGACGGGACCAGCCCCCCUCCCUGCCCCGGCGCCGCCGCACCGAAACCCUCAGCCCCGCGUCGCACGAACAGGGCACCAGCGAGGAGCGAGAGCGGCCGCGAGCGGGGGACUCCCCCCAGCCGGCGGCAGCACCCUCACGCCAGGGAGACAUCGAAGCCGCAGCACCUCGGCCCCUUCGCUUGCAGUUUGCUGCCRGCUCCUUUCUGCAGGUUUAUUUCUGCCACCGCAAAGCGCGUUUCCCUGGGGGCYGCGGCCCCUUGCUGCAGGCGACCCCCGGCUCCAGGGGAAAGCGUCUUACAGGCUCAGCUUGCUCUUUCUUUGCGGCUUUAGUUUGCAAGCAAGAGCCUGCAACGGCUCCCCAUCCCAGCAGCGCCGAGAUCCACGUGCACCGAUGCCUCCGGGCACGUGCUCAGCAGCAGCCACCCCCUCCGCAGGGCUAACACGUGAGCCCCGCGCCAGAGCCAGACCCUGUGCGCCUCGGGGGGCCGAGCCGGCGCUGGGCUGA